GACAGAGGUCCCGAGCGUUAGGCGGAAUCACUGGGCUUAAAGCGUGUGUAGGCGGAUCGUUAAGUGCCUUGUGAAAUCCCACGGCUCACCCGUGGAACUGCUUGGUAUACUGGUCGUCUUGAGCCUUCUAGGGGCGAGUGGAACAAAUGGUGGAGCGGUGAAAUGCGUAGAUAUCAUUUGGAACGCCAAUGGUGAAAACAACUCGCUGGGGAAGUGCUGACGCUGAGACACGAAAGCCAGGGGAGCGAACGGG
rnacentral:rRNA from 1 species